rnacentral:rRNA from 1 species
AUUGAACGCUGGCGGCAGGCCUAACACAUGCAAGUCGAACGCAGUGGGGACGGGUGAGUAACACGUGGGUAACCUCCCAUCAGAGGGGAUAACACUUGGAAACAGGUGCUAAACCGAUACUGAUGGAUGGACCCGCGGGGCAUUAGCUAGUCGGUGAGGCAACGGCGCACAAAGGCCACGAUGCAUAGCGGACCUGAGAGGGUGAUCGGCAACACUGGAACUGAGACACGGCCCAGACUCCUACGGGAGGCAGCAGUGGGGAAUCUUCGGCAAUGGACGAAAGUCUGACCGAGCCACGCCGCGUGAGUGAAGAAGGUUUUCGGAUCGUAAAACUCUGUUGUUAGAGAAGCGGUAUCUAACCAGAAAGCCACGGCUAACUACGUGCCAGCAGCCGCGGUAAUAC